UACGUAGGCAGCAAGCGUUGUUCGGAGUUACUGGGCGUAAAGGGUGUGUAGGCGGUUCUUUAAGUUUGGUAUGAAAUCUCCCCGGCUCAACUGGGAGGGUGCGCCGAAUACUGAGGGGACUAGAGUACGGGAGAGGAAAGUGGAAUUCCUGGUGUAGCGGUGAAAUGCGUAGAUAUCAGGAGGAACACCGGUGGUGUAGACGGCUUUCUGGACCGUAACUGACGCUGAGACACGAAAGCGUGGGUAGCAAACGGG
rnacentral:rRNA from 1 species